rnacentral:lncRNA from 1 species
GAUGCACGACAGAUACAUGUGUCAGUCUGGUCCCUGCAGUUGUAUUUGUAAUAAUACACAUUGGAGCAAUUUCAUGGCCAUCAGUUAGAGAAUGUUUGAGGAAUGAUCCAUUCAUAUCAAGAAGGACAUUUCAAAGAUCAAAGCCUGAUGGAAAUGCUGGAGACCAUGGAGCUGAUAGGAGCUCAUGCGUGUUGACCAAUUACUACGUGACAGGCAUUGGCUCCACGCUUUUCCUGCACUGCUCAUUUAAACACUGGACAACCUAAGUGUUCUGAUUUAGCCCAUUGGACAGAUAGAAAUGGAGGCACAGAAGAUUCAUGUGUUUAACUUCAAACCCUGGCAGAUUAGGUUUUUCAUCCAGAGCCUGUGGCUUCACCAUAGCUGUGAUUCACGUUCUGUCAUUCUCCACUUUAGGAAUUUCCAGUAUUCCAAAUAUGAGAAGCUGAGAAAACAAACAACAAACUCAAAACCCUAAAAACCAGGAUACGUAAGGGUAGAUGUUUGUUGGGUGUGGAUUAAAAAUGGACUUUUUUUGCCCCAAGCAACAAAGAGGCACCUUAGAAAAUAGACAAGAGACAAGAGGAAGAGAAGCUUUAAGAGAUAUUUGGUCCAAGGAAGAGACUCUUCAGAUGGAAGGUCACGUCAGCUAGAAACAUUAAUAUGACUGGAUGGGCUCAAACCACUGACUUUUCAGUCAACAUCCGACAGCACUAACCCAGUGUUCCAGAGACACUGCUUGUUAAACAGUGAAAGCUGUUGCUCAAUUGUGUCAUCCGUAAUUGUCAAAUAUUGCCAUUUAGUAGCACAAGGAAGUAUUCUCUGUUGCCAAGCUAGAGUACCCAUAACUCUUCUGUUUUGUUGAACAUUCUUCCCCACCACAAACCCUCUUUAGAAGACUGGGGGCUCCUAAAGCAUUGAGGCCGAGAGUCCCGUCCUUGUGCAUGUUUGGGCAUUGACCCAGGGCCAAGUCAGUGGGAGACUCCUCCACGCCUACGCCAGGUCCCCAGGUGACAACUGCAGUCUCUGGAUCUGAAGUCAUCCACUUUCCCAUUCCUAGCUCACCUCACCCAUCGUGAAGCCUGGAUUUCCUUUUUAUCACUGGUUUUGAUGGAUUUGAUUAAGGCGUUCCUUGGUGAAGUUUUCUUCAUGUUUCUUGUUCUUAGAAUAAUCAUAUUUCUGUAAUAUUUGAAGUUUAUGGUUUCCAUGGAGCUUCUAAAUCUUUCAUCCAGUAUGUUUUAAAUAUCUUUGUCUCUCUUCUCCACUACACGCCCUUCAGGGAUUCCAUUUAGCCCUAUACUGGGGGGUUUAAAGUUUUGAUGCCGAUGGUGUUUUUAUGUUUUCAAGUCAUUUGUUACUGUGUGUUUCAUUUAUGUUAGUUUCAACUUCUAUUCCUUCUAGUUCAAUAAUCUUCUCUUCUGCAAUGUUUAAUCCACUGCCUUCUUCCAUUUCAGACUGUAAAUCAUACUUUUUAUCUACAGAAUUUGAUAUUUAAAAAAUCUUCAACCUCCCCAUUUAAUUAAAAUACAAUUAUACUAA